GACAGAGGUGCCAAGCGUUAGGCGGAAUCACUGGGCUUAAAGCGUGUGUAGGCGGAUCUGUAAGUACCUUGUGAAAUCCCACGGCUCAACCGUGGAACUGCUUGGUAUACUGCGGGUCUUGAGCCACCUAGGGGCAAGUGGAACAAACGGUGGAGCGGUGAAAUGCGUAGAUAUCGUUUGGAACGCCAAUGGUGAAAACAACUUGCUGGGGGUGUGCUGACGCUGAGACACGAAAGCCAGGGGAGCAAACGGG
rnacentral:rRNA from 1 species